GAUGAACGCUAGCGGCAGGCCUAAUACAUGCAAGUCGAACGGUGUAGCAAUACACAGUGGCGCACGGGUGCGUAACACGUAUGCAACCUACCUUACGUUGGGGGAUAGCCUUUCGAAAGGGAGAUUAGUACCGCAUAAGACAGUAACUAGGCAUCUAGUAGCUGUUAAAGAUUUAUCGAUGUAAGCUGGGCAUGCGUCCAAUUAGUUAGUUGGCGAGGUAAUGGCUCACCAAGACGAUGAUUGGUAGGGGAACUGAGAGGUCAAUCCCCCACACUGGCACUGAGAUACGGGCCAGACUCCUACGGGAGGCAGCAGUAGGGAAUAUUGGGCAAUGGGCGCAAGCCUGACCCAGCCAUGCCGCGUGCAGGAAGAAGGCGUUAUGCGUUGUAAACUGCUUUUAUACAGGAAGAAACGACCCUUGCGAGGGGCAUUGACGGUACUGUAUGAAUAAGCACCGGCUAACUCCGUGCCAGCCGCCGCCGUAAGAC
rnacentral:rRNA from 1 species